rnacentral:rRNA from 1 species
GUCAUUGCUAUCGGGGUCCGAUUUAGCCAUGCUAGUCGAACGGGUUAAGACCCGUGGCGAAUAGCUCAGUAACACGUAGAUAAACUACCCUAUGGACUGUGAUAACCUCGGAAAACUGAGGGUAAUAACAGAUAGUACUCCUACGCUGGAAUGCAGUGAGUACGAAAUGCUCCGGUGCCAUAGGAUGUGACUGCGGCCGAUUAGGUAGACGGUGGGGUAACGGCCCACCGUGCCGAUAAUCGGUACGGGUGGUGAGAGCCAGAGCCCGGAGAUGGAAUCUGAGACAAGAUUCCAGGCCCUAUGGGGCGCAGCAGGCGCGAAAACUUUACAAUGCGCGAAAGCGCGAUAAGGGGACCCCGAGUGCGAGGGCAUAACGUCCUCGCUUUUGUAUAUCGUAAGAAGAUACACGAAUAAGGGCUGGGCAAGACCGGUGCCAGCCGCCGCGGUAAUACCGGCAGCUCGAGUGAUGAUCACUAUUAUUGGGCCUAAAGCGUCCGUAGCCUGUCGAACAAGUCCUUCGGUAAAUCCACUCGCUCAACGAGUGGGCUCUCGAGGGAAACUGUUCGACUUGGGGCCGGGAGAUCUGAGGGGUACGUCUAGGGUAGGAGUGAAAUCCUGUAAUCCUAGACAGACCGCCGGUGGCGAAAGCGCCUCAGAAGAACGGACCCGACGGUCAGGGACGAAAGCUAGGGUCUCGAACCGGAUUAGAUACCCGGGUAGUCCUAGCCGUAAACGAUGCUCGCUAGGUGUUGCGAAAGCUACGUGCUUUUGCUGUGCCGUAGGGAAGCCGUGAAGCGANCCGCCUGGGAAGUACGUCCGCAAGGAUGAAACUUAAAGGAAUUGGCGGGGGAGCACUACAACCGGAGGAGCCUGCGGUUUAAUUGGACUCAACGCCGGACAUCUCACCAGUACCGACAAUUGCAGUGACAGUCAAGUUAAUGACUUUACUCGAGUUCUUGAGAGGAGGUGCAUGGCCGCCGUCAGCUCGUACCGUGAGGCGUCCUGUUAAGUCAGG